rnacentral:lncRNA from 1 species
GUCAAACUAGUACUUGUAAUAUUAAUAAUUGAGAUGGUUAUUUAUUCUGCCGUUAGUAGUGAAUCUAGAAACAUUAUUUUUGAUCAACCUUUGAAUCAAAUAUAUUAUAUUGCAGAAAAGAAUACGCUCAGGAAGGAAGUGUAUUGAUGAUUGCAACAAACAAUAUAGGAAGGGGACAACGGAGAUUAUACGUUGCGUUAAAAAGUGCUAUGAGAGCUAUUUACUAUUUUAUUUUGUGGGUGUUGAAAACUAGUACAUGUAUGACGUAUUUUAUGUGCAUAUUGUGUAACAUCCUCAUUGUAUGUUUAGUUUGUCAUGUUUAAGUUACAACCAACAAAUAACAAGAACAUCAUUAUCCCACUUGAUUUUUUACACAACUGAUAUAUCUAAUAAUUACAUUACACAAACAAGGAACUUUUUAUUUUUGAUAUUGG